AUGGUAGAACCGUCCAAUAGCAAUCGUGAGGCCGAUGAGACGACAACCAGUAAGACCAGCGCCACCGGAGGGGAUGAUCGUAGUUCAUCUCCCUCCGAGGACCCCGUCCCCUCCGGUGAGCCUGUCUCCACCACCCUCCCCAUUCAGGAUACCAGUGAGCCCUCAGAGACUCAGAGGAGCGAGGCCCCAGCCACCAGCGAGGCCCCAGCCACCAGCGAGGCCUCAGCGACGAGCGUGGCGGCCACCGGGGGCCGCCACUUCCACACCGGCCUCCAGAGGACCCCCACACCCAGUAGUGGUACGCCCACCACCACCACCACCCCAGGGAGUUCCAGCCCACAGGAGGAGGCCGGUGUGGAGACCACCGGGGGCCGCCACCGCUACCCAGGCCGGGAGGAGGAGGCCACGACACCAGUAGAGGAGGGGGCGAGGUUUACAGGUAGAAUAGGUAAUUCUACCCACCCCUCCUCUACUGGUUCAACACCACCUGAUGUUUCGCCUAGUUCUACCACACUCAUAUUAGUCACAUCCAUUUCCAUUUCCAUCUGCCUUAUCAUCACCAUCAUAUUUAUUGAUCAAGAACAUCAUUGCCACCACUGUGAUAAAGUAAUGAGCAAUGAACAGGACCUGAUGUUUCACGAAUUAACUCAUGAUUUGGAUCAAAUGGAAUACAGCGGUGAAGGUCCAUGGUCCCCAUUGAUUCCCAAUUCAACAUGUGAACCUAUGGAAGAGGACCAUGUCGCAGAUCAAGAAAUGGCUCCUGAAUCCAUGGAAUCCGAUGAAGCAUCAACCUCUACUAGAACCAACUCAUCUCAAAUUGGUUUUGGCGGUGUGAAAAAAAUACCAUAUACCAUUCAAAAAGUAGGAGAACGAACUAUAAUGAAAAAUAAUGCUAUCGAUGUAAACUACAAUAUUCGGUUUAAUGCAGAAAACCCUGAACAAGGAAUGAGGCUGACUGAUCUGCUUCGUGAAUUAGAAGAUAUGUUUGACAACAUUCUCAAUGAAACAGCUCGAGGUCUUGACCCUUUUUUGGAUCUUGGACGAGUCAUCAUUCAUCACAUGGGAUUGUACAAUCCUGUGUAUGUACCACUAAGGCCCUUGAAAGAUCUUACUGGAAAAAGUGUGAUGGAGAACUUACAAAAUGUCUUAAACAGCCAUGAAAAUCUUUCUCUAGAUAAAAGUUUUUAUUUAAAUGUGGGACUUAUUAAAGUUCCAAAGGGCGGUAUAGCAGGCAAAAAUAUUAACAAAGUUGGUGACGGCAAUGAUUCUCUCAGAAUCAAAAGAUCAUGUAUCAAAAUUCAAAACACAGAUGAAUUAUGCCUUGCUCGAAGCAUUUGCAUGGGGUUUUUCAAAUUACAUCAAAUUCCAACAUCUGAAUGGCAGAAAUUAGCACACCAAAGUGACAAAGGAACAAUAGAAGAAAAAGUAAUGGAAUUGCGGAAAUGUCCUAUUUGGUUCUACAAAGAAUUAAUGAAGCACAACAAAACAAAUAAUGAACGUCAAAAAAAAUUAGCCAUUUUGUUAUGCCAGAAAGCCAAUGUAAGCAGUGAGAGACGUCUGUCCAUUCAAGACAUUUAUGCUUUUGAGAACGUAUUGAAUGUUGAUAUUCUAGUUGUCAGUGCCACUAUUGGUAACAAAUUCAUACGAACUGUUCCAAAAGAUUCUUGGUGUGGAAAAUCUCAGCACAAACCCAACUUGGUAGUGGCUCAAACAGUGUGUGAGGAAUGCUUCGGUCAAGAACUCACGCCAAAUUCUAAAUGCGAUAACUGUGGAACUAGGUGCAAAAAAUAUUACUGCCGUAGUGAUGUGGACAUACUCAGACAAGCUUGUUUGAAAUUCAGAGAAAUUCUUAUGAAAAUCACAGGAAAAGAAGAAGUGGUAUUUGAGGAUGAAAUGCCAGAGAAAAAAUUAAUGGGAGGCGUGGAUCCUUUUCAAUGCACGACCAUUGCUGGGGUUUGCAUGGAAGUGUUUAAAAGCAAAUUUCUUCAAGAAGAAUGGCGUGUCAAAGUUAGAGGCAAUGAUGGAAUAAGUGAUUGGCUACAGGCCCGCCGACUGCAAGGGGACUUUUCCAUUUUAUUCAAGGAACAUUGGGUUACGGGUGAAGAGUUACAGAAUCAAGAAUACGUAAUAGAAGAAUCUGAAUUUGUUAGUUCACCUAUUUCACAAAUCCCUUCCACGGGUUAUGCCCCUUUUCUCGGACAAUAUAGUUGCGUAUCGAUACAGUGGCUCUCAUGGAUACAAGAAGAUCAUUUCAAAAAGACAGGGCACCGCCUCUACAUACAGCAUGCCUUAAAUGAGGGUGAAUUUCAACUGCCGGGUACCAAUUACUUAUUAGAUGGAUACUGUCCUGAAACCAACACUGCAUACGAAUUUCACGGGUGUUACUGGCACGGAUGUCCCAUAUGUUUUCCUACUCAGCGUCAGCAGCUUAAACAUAUAAGAACCAAACACUCCAUGAACGAGUUACUGACCAUGACCUUAAAAAAGAGAGACUACAUUCAGUCUCUGGGUAUGAAAUAUGUCUACAUUUGGGAGCAUGAUUUUGAAAACUUACUGAAGCAGAACCAAGGCGCAUCUGAUUAUGUUCAUUCCCUAAACCUGCAAGAAAGAUGCUGGAUAGAAGAGUCUUAUAUUUCGAUACGGAUUCAGUCAUUUUCGUCAGCAGACCUGGAGAUCAGGAACCAAAAGUCGGGUCAUUUCUUGGUCAACUUACCAGUGAGUUACAACCCAAAGAAUACAUUACAGAAUUUGUUUCGGGAGGACCUAAAAAUUACGCCUACAGGACUUCAGAAGGAAAAGAAGUAUGCAAAAUCAAAGGAUUUACCCUAA
rnacentral:sRNA from 1 species